rnacentral:rRNA from 1 species
UACGUAGGUGGCAAGCGUUUGUCCGGAAUUAUUGGGCGUAAAGCGCGCGCAGGCGGUCCUUUAAGUCUGAUGUGAAAGCCCACGGCUCAACCGUGGAGGGUCAUUGGAAACUGGGGGACUUGAGUGCAGAAGAGGAAAGCGGAAUUCCACGUGUAGCGGUGAAAUGCGUAGAGAUGUGGAGGAACACCAGUGGCGAAGGCGGCUUCCUGGUCGU